rnacentral:rRNA from 16 species
GUUUUACGUCCCCUGCCCUUUGUACACACCGCCCGUCGCUACUACCGAUUGAAUGGCUCAGUGAGGCGUCCGGACUGGCCCAGAGAGGCGGGCAACUGCCACUCAGGGCCGGAAAGCUCUCCAAACUCGGUCAUUUAGAGGAAGUAAAAGUCGUAACAAGGUCUCCGUUGGUGAACCAGCGGAGGGAUCAUUA